UUUGGAAUUGAUGAUUGUAGACAAAAUGUUGGUACAACAGUCAUUGUUCGUGAUGUAUUUUACAACCAACCAGUUCGAAGGAAGCAAAUACACUCCCAACCCAAAGAGGGUCUUGCAUUCUCUGAAAGAGUCUCUGCUAAGAAUACUCCUUGUGCAUCCCAGUGGCUCCUUCAAAAUUGUUGAUUU